GACACUAUGGCAGAAUUGGCAAAUGCAUCGGACUACUAAUCCGAUAUCCUUAUGGGGAUGUGUGAGAUCGGGACUCACUGGUGUCG
rnacentral:tRNA from 1 species